GGGCAGGUGGCGUAACUGGUAGCCGCGCCAGACUUAGGAUCUGGUUCCGCAAGGAGUGGGGGUUCGAGUCCCCCCCUGCCCA
rnacentral:tRNA from 1 species